AGAGUUUGAUCCUGGCUCAGGAUGAACGCUGGCGGCGUGCCUAACACAUGCAAGUCGAACGGACUUUUCAUGAAGCCUAGCGAUUGAAAAGUUAGUGGCGGACGGGUGAGUAACGCGUGGGUAACCUGCCUUGUACUGGGGGACAACAGUUGGAAACGACUGCUAAUACCGCAUAAGCGCACAGCUUCGCAUGAAGCAGUGUGAAAAACUCCGGUGGUACAAGAUGGACCCGCGUCUGAUUAGCUGGUUGGUGAGGUAACGGCCCACCAAGGCGACGAUCAGUAGCCGGCCUGAGAGGGUGAACGGCCACAUUGGGACUGAGACACGGCCCAAACUCCUACGGGAGGCAGCAGUGGGGAAUCUUCCGCAAUGGGCGAAAGCCUGACGGAGCAAUGCCGCGUGAGUGAAGAAGGCCUUCGGGUUGUAAAGCUCUAUCGUAGCCGAAGAGAGCGUGGGAUAGUAACUGAUUCUACGAGGACGGUAGGCUACAAGGAAGCCCCGGCUAACUAUGUGCCAGCAGCCGCGGUAAAACAUAGGGGGCAAGCGUUGUCCGGAAUCACUGGGCGUAAAGGGCGCGUAGGUGGUCUGUUAAGUCAGAUGUGAAAUGUAAGGGCUCAACCCUUAACGUGCAUCUGAUACUGGCAGACUUGAGUGCGGAAGAGGCAAGUGGAAUUCCUAGUGUAGCGGUGAAAUGCGUAGAUAUUAGGAGGAACACCAGUGGCGAAGGCGACUUGCUGGGCCGUAACUGACGCUGAGGCGCGAAAGCGUGGGGAGCAAACAGGAUUAGAUACCCUGGUAGUCCACGCCGUAAACGAUGAGUACUAGGUGUUGGGGGUUUUGACACCUUCGGUGCCGCAGUAAACACAAUAAGUACUCCGCCUGGGGAGUACGAUCGCAAGAUUGAAACUCAAAGGAAUUGACGGGGGCCCGCACAAGCGGUGGAGCAUGUGGUUUAAUUCGACGCAACGCGAAGAACCUUACCAAGACUUGACAUCCUGCUGACCGUCUGAGUAAUGUCGGACUUUUCUUCGGAACAGCAGAGACAGGUGGUGCAUGGUUGUCGUCAGCUCGUGUCGUGAGAUGUUGGGUUAAGUCCCGCAACGAGCGCAACCC
rnacentral:rRNA from 1 species